UACGGGGGGUGCGAGCGUUAAUCGGAAUAACUGGGCGUAAAGGGCACGUAGGCGGACUUUUAAGUGAGGUGUGAAAUCCCCGGGCUUAACCCGGGAACUGCAUUUCAUACUGGGUGUCUAGAGUACUUUAGGGAGGGGUGGAAUUCCACGUGUAGCGGUGAAAUGCGUAGAGAUGUGGAGGAAUACCGAAGGCGAAGGCAGCCCCUUGGAAAUGUACUGACGCUCAGGUGCGAAAGCGUGGGGAGCAAACAGG
rnacentral:rRNA from 1 species